UAAUGGCAGUUCACACUACAGUUUCCUAAGCUCCAUGUUUUCCUGACCAUGUUCUCCACAAAUCACUCCUACAAAUGUUUCCCAACCAGUUACAGGUAGUUAUCGCCCCCCAUAUCUUCCUCCCACCUCGCUGAAAACUGCAUAUGCAACCUACGCUUAUCAUAAUCCUUCCUUUUGUAGCAAAAAUUGUGUUCAAUCACCUUCAUCCUCACUCUUAUUUCUUACACAAAGCCCUAAUUUUUUUUUCUUCCUUCUCGAACUCACAUCUAAAUUGGUGAAAUUAGAAGGUUCUCCAUGUGAUCACAAUGCAUUUAACAUAAAAGAAGAGACGGAUGUGAAAUCAAGCAACGAUGGAGGGUGGCCCAAAUUUUGGAGGGUGGAUUAUGAUGGAGGGCCACCCUCACUUUUUUCUUCAUUCUAAAACAUAUAUUACAUGAUGGAGGGUGGCCCAAAUUUUGUUUGGGGUUUUCAGCAGGUGAACGCUCCUCCAUAAAUCGUACUCCAUUGCUGGAAAGUAUCAGGUGAACGCUUCAAUCAAACGUGUUUUGGAUUAUCUGUGCAACCCAAUUCGAGUUUCCAAGUGCAGUUCUAUCAACCCCCACUACCCAAAAUUGCGGUACACUUUUCUUAUAGAAACCAUACAUCCAACACUCUGGUUCUCCAGACGCAGAAGAGGAAGAGCAAGAUUCGAGAGCUGACUCUUCGAGAAAUUAGGGACAUUAAGGUAUACUUUGAUUGCAUAUACAGUUGAUUAGGGAAUAAUCUUGCUAUUGUCCUUGUAUGUAUGUUGUUUUAGCCAUCACUAUCAUCUUCUUCAGCAACAAUUUCGUUAGCAUGAAAUUAGUUUAUUCGAUUGGUAGCAGGUGGCAGCACAUAGGUGAAUCUAUCCCUCUCUUGCUCUCUGAUUUGGUUUUCUAUUCAAACUAUAUUCAAACCCUAAUUUUGCCCUCUUAACCUCUGCUCCUAGAAGCAAAUUUUGAUUUUAAAUGGUCAGGAAUUUAUUUUAGAAUGAUCUAAUGGUUGAGAUUAGUCCAAAAUCAGUUUUGUAUUAAGGGGAACAUAAGAAUAUGAAAUCAUCUCUGUUUUUAUAAUAUAUUGAAAUCCGAUGAUUUCGCCCAAAAAAAAAAUGUAAUUUUGCCCUCUUUCUCUCAAUUUUGCAGGUAGAGCAUCCACUUCAACUGUUAUAAGGUAACCAAUAUUUUUUCCAUGUAAUAUUUUAUUUUUUUUGUAAGUUGUUUGUUCUUGGGAUUUGAAAAUUUUACUGAAAUACGAGGCGGGUGUGUUUUACUUCUAUUUUUGAUGAUAGAAGGUACUUAUGUUUGAUAUUGGGAUAUGCUAUUGUAUGAUUUUGAUGUGAAGACUCAGAAACUAUGAUAAUGUAGUUAGAUAAUCAAUAGAUUAAAGCUACACAAAGUUGGAUUAUUUCCCUUUAUCAAGAUAUUUGUAGACCUGCCUGUUCAAAUAUUAUCAAAGCUGGAUUAGGAUUAUUUCACUUUAUAGACCUCUUUGUUCAAAUAUGAUUACUUUUUGGAUGAAUCUGAUGGUUAUGUGCCUGGGAUGUUUGAUCUGAUUUUAAAUAAUAUGUUUACUUUUGAAUUUGGCAACCGAGAAAAAGAAUGGGCAAUAAUAAAAAUUGUAUGUUGAGAAAAGUUGACCAUUGAAGUACCAGCAACAUAUAACAAUCAAGAUGCAAAUGCUGCAAGUGUUGGAAGUAAACAGUCGGUCAAGAACGUGAAGAAUCUGGAUUCGAGAACGGAUGAUAAUGUGUCGGAAACUGUAAAGAGCAUGGCGAAACCGUGUUGGUUUGUGGCUUUGGUUCCUUGUGCUUGGAUGUGCGGUUGCUCGAGUUCGAAUGAUGAAUCUACGGAGCUUCAGACAAGUGAAGAUGGCAUGUUUUACUGUAGUUUGUGUGAAGUUGAGGUUUUAAGUACAACAAGCAUUGUAGACUGUAGAGUUUGUGACAAAUGUGUCGAUCGAUUUGAUCAUCAUUGCAGGUGGCUGAAUAACUGUAUAGGCAAGAAGAACUACAAAAAGUUCUUUACUCUUAUGAUCUCCGCACUUCUCCUAAAGCGCGCCUCGGGCUAUUAAAGGCGCCAAGGCUUGCGCCUCGCGCGUCAGGCGCACUUUUUAAAACCCAGAAUAGGAUGUGGUGUUAUAGAAGAGUUUUAGAAGGAAUGGAAUGUUCCCACAGCCCACACCCUGAAUUUCAUUAUAUAACCGAAUUCCAAAGUCAUGAGCCAAAGAUGGGUCCUGUAACCUUUCCCGAUUGCAACACCAACACGCUGUACGUUACCAUCAGGUAAGUUUCUAUGCUGUCCUUUUUCACAAUAUAUAAGAGGUAGUAAAAUGGGCAGGACUGACAAGGCCAGAAGGUGCAACUUUUUGUUACAGGUCAGGUCUAACCGAACGCUUUUUAUGUGUAAAUUUAUUAAAUUUUCUUUGCAAAUAAUUACUAUUUGGCACAUUUCGUUUUAAGUUAUAUUUUUACGUGUUUGACCCGUUUGAGAUGAAAUAUAGCUUGAAUUUACACUUCCAUAAGUGAAUGGGUCAAAGUUAGAAGACUAUUAUAUACCACAUCAAGUAGAACGCCAUGUAAAAUAUGAUCAUGUCACUAGCUUUUGAAGGUGACUCAUAUGUAUUUGUAAAAAAUAAUCCAGGCAUGGUUUGCAACAGGAGAUGCUGGUUGUUAUGGUGAUGCCACAUGGGGUUCAAGGUCGGUGGUCAUCACAGCCACGUAGACUUUGUAUUCAAAAGACGAAAUUUAAAUAUAUACAUGGAUGGAUGCUGCACUUCAUGAGCUAACUGAUCUGGUAUGCCAAAUGAUCCAUAUUUGGACAAUUUAAUUUGUGCUUUGUGGUCGAAAGUGUAUUCCAUGUUCUUUUUUGUUCCUUGAACACGCUAUCCAUUAAAAAAACACCACUUAGGAUCAAGUGGGUUAUGCAUUAUGUAUGUAAUAAAAUAUGGGAGUUCUUCAUCAAAUGAUAGUGCUGUUGUAUGUAUUUAAUAAAAUAUGAAAGCACUUUUAUUUGUCUGA